rnacentral:rRNA from 1 species
CCUACGGGUGACAGCAGUGAGGAAUAUUGGUCAAUGGACGAGAGUCUGAACCAGCCAAGUAGCGUGAAGGAUGACUGCCCUAUGGGUUGUAAACUUCUUUUAUAAGGGAAUAAAACGAGGCACGUGUGCCUUUUUGCAUGUACUGUAUGAAUAAGGAUCGGCUAACUCCGUGCCAGCAGCCGCGGUAAUACGGAGGAUCCGAGCGUUAUCCGGAUUUAUUGGGUUUAAAGGGAGCGUAGAUGGGUUGUUAAGUCAGUUGUGAAAGUUUGCGGCUCAACCGUAAAAUUGCAAUUGAUACUGGCAGUCUUGAGUACAGUUGAGGUAGGCGGAAUUCGUGGUGUAGCGGUGAAAUGCUUAGAUAUCACGAAGAACCCCGAUUGCGAAGGCAGCUUACUAAACUGCGACUGACAUUGAUGCUCGAAAGUGUGGGGAUCAAACAGGAUUAGAUACCCGAGUAGUC